rfam:Rattus norvegicus chromosome 19, whole genome shotgun sequence.
GGAUUUAGCUCAGCGGUAGAGCGCUUGCCUAGCAAGCGCAAGGCCCUGGGUUCGGUUCCCAGAUCCG